AGCUCCAGUAGCGUAUACUAAAGUUGUUGCAGUUAAAAAGCUCGUAGUUGGAUUUCUGGAUUUCGAUGCUAGCCCGCCACCUUAGGGUGUGUGAGUGCCGGAUAUCGUUGUCCAUCCUUCCUGAGCUGGGUGCGUACCCUUAAUUGGGUCGCGCGCCUUCUAAAGCUCUGGAUCAUUUACUUUGAAAAAAUUAGAGUGUUUAAAGCAGGCUUACGCCUUGAAUACAUUAGCAUGGAAUAAUAAUAUAGGACUUGGGUUCUAUUUUGUUGGUUUCUAGGACCGAAGUAAUGAUUGAUAGGGAUAGUUGGGGGUGCUAGUAUUCAGCGGCCAGAGGUGAAAUUCUUGGAUUCGCUGAAGACUAACUACUGCGAAAGCAUUCACCAAGGAUGUCUUCUUUAAU
rnacentral:rRNA from 1 species